CAAAGGUAGCGAAAUCAUUUGUCUACUAAUUAUAGACCCGUAUGAAGGGCCACAUGAGGGUUUAACUGUCUCCUAAGACCAACCUAUAAAACUGAUCCCCUAGUUCAAAAGCUAGGAUUAGACUAUAAGACGAGAAGACCCUGUGAAGCUUAAAAAAUCUUAUUAAAGAAUUAAUAAGUAUUUUUAGUUGGGGCAACUUUGGAAAACAGACUAACCUCCAAACAAUGACAGGUCAAUAAAGACCCAGUAUAACUGAAAAAUGGACCAAGUUACUCCAGGGAUAACAGCGCAAUCUUCUUCAAGAGCUCCUAUCUAAAAGAAGGUUUACGACCUCGAUGUUGGAUCAGGACACCCAAACGGUGCAGCAGCUGUUAAAGGUUCGUUUGUUCAACGAUUAAAGU
rnacentral:rRNA from 1 species